CCUACGGGAGGCUGCAGUGGGGAAUAUGGCACAAUGGGGGAAACCCUGAUGCAGCAACGCCGCGUGAAGGAAGAAGGUUUUCGGAUGGGAAACGUCUGUUCGUAGUGAAGAAGAAUGACGGUAGCUAAGGAGCAAGCCACGGCUAACUACGUGCCAGCAGCCGCGGUAAUACGUAGGUGGCAAGCGUUGUCCGGAAUUACUGGGUGUAAAGGGAGCGCAGGCGGGAAGCCAAGUCAGCUGUGAAAACUACGGGCUUAACUUGUAGACUGCAGUUGAAACUGGUUUUCUGGAGUGAAGUAGAGGUUGGCGGAAUUCCGGGUGUAGCGGUGAAAUGCGUAGAUAUUCGGAGGAACACCGGUGGCGAAGGCGGCCGACUGGGCUUUAACUGACGCUGAGGCUCGAAAGUGUGGGGAGCAAACAGGAUUAGAUACCCGGGUAGUC
rnacentral:rRNA from 1 species